rnacentral:rRNA from 1 species
CCUUUGACGUUAGCGGCGGACGGGUGAGUAACACGUGGGUAACCUACCUAUAAGACUGGGAUAACUUCGGGAAACCGGAGCUAAUACCGGAUAAUAUUUCGAACCGCAUGGUUCGAUAGUGAAAGGUGGUUUUGCUAUCACUUAUAGAUGGACCCGCGCCGUAUUAGCUAGUUGGUAAGGUAACGGCUUACCAAGGCGACGAUACGUAGCCGACCUGAGAGAGUGAUCGGCCACACUGGAACUGAGACACGGUCCAGACUCCUACGGGAGGCAGCAGAC